UACGAAGGGGCUAGCGUUGUUCGGAGUUACUGGGCGUAAAGGGUGCGUAGGCGGUUGUUUAAGUUUGGUGUGAAAUCUCCCGGCUACAACGUGGGAGGUGCGCCGAAUACUGAAUGAUAGAGGUGCGGGAGAGGAGAGUGGGAAUUCCUGGUGUAGCGGUGAAAUGCGUAGAUACGUGGAGGAACACGGUGGCGAAAGCGGCUUUCUACGU
rnacentral:rRNA from 1 species